rfam:Brachypodium distachyon strain Bd21 chromosome 1, whole genome shotgun sequence.
UAAGUACUACCUCCGUUCCAUAAUUCUUGUCUCAAAUUUGUCCCAAAAUGGAUGUAUCUAUUCCUAAAAAGCGUCUAGAUACAUGUAAUAUUUCGACAAGAAUUAUGGAACGGAGGGAGUAUUUG